AUGUUCCUGGACGACGCCCCCCCUGCAGGUCAGACAGGGACACGACACGUGACAAUGAGCAGGUUUCAGCUGAGAUCAGUCGCCGCCGUCGUCAUGGUGAUAAUCACCUGGUUAAGACCUGGAUGAGCUGCUGAUGUAACGACGAGGAUCAGAGCGAGAACCUGGACGAUCCCAAAACAAUAAAUAAUCAAUAAAUUAUACACAGAAAGGAACCUGCUCACAAACUCAUCUGUCAAUUCUAAAUCAAUAUCAUCAAUAAAUAAAGAUCACAUUUACUCUGUAAAACAUUUACUCUGUAAAACAUUUACGCUGUAAAACAUUUACUCUGUAAAACAUUUACGCUUUCAUCUUGAUGUCGUCUCUUUAGGAUUACCUGGCUCACAUCAUCGACUGCUCUGAUUUGUCGAUUCGUCCUGAGCAGGUUUGCUCUCUGUUUGGAAACAUCGAGGACAUUUACGAGUUCAACAGUGAGCUGCUUCAGGCUCUCGACCUGUGUGACAACGACCCCGUCAGGGUCGCUCGCUGCUUCGUCAUGAAGAGCGAGUACUUUGAGAUCUACACUCAGUACUGCACCAACUACCCCAAGUGAGUUCUGA